GCAUAUGAUGACCUCGUGAACCACCCUUCAGACUUCCAGUGCUUCUGGCUUUAAUAUUCUGUGCUAGAUUCACAGAGCUCUUCUACAGAUGCUAAGCGUUCAAUCCUGAAGGCUCCACUUCAUCAUCAGAAAUACUUCUAGAUCAGCUAUGGCAAAAGUUCAUUCAUUUCCAAGAGGUAGAUAUCAGCCAGACUCAGAUGUAUAUGGAGCAGCAGCACAGAAGAGCCCCUCAACUGCCCCUCAUCACCAUAUGAAAGAGGACUGAAAGUAUGUGUCUACCUUAUUGAUCAGUGCAAUGCACGGAGAGAAGGACUGGGGCUCAGUUUGCUGUGGUGUGUCAUGGUUUUUGGAUCACAGACCUACACUGUCUGUGAUUUCCUGGUGAUGGAGUUCACACUGGCUGCAAGUCCUAGGCAUGCAUCAUGCAAGCAUAAGGAGAGAGCUGUUUUAGGACCUUACGCCCACAUUACAAACAUACAUUACUUCAUGCACUGCUUCAUCUGUGGUUCUAUCAGGAAAGAAACCAAGUUACACAAAUCCAUGGUACACGACUGUGUUUGCUGCAUAACUGCAAACACAUGUUACACUUCAAAGAUCCCCAAACAAUAUUAUUUUGGAAGUUGUUUUAUUAUAGAGGAUGUAAUCAUAAUUUUGAAGUGCAUAACUGACACAUGUAUGUGAUGAAAAGCUCAAAGAUGAAAUAAUUUCACAUUGCCAUGGAUGGCACUAAGUUACAGGCCAAGAUCUUUUCUCAGAUACUCCAAAGCAAUGCACAGUCUAGGAUGUAGCCUUUAGCUAUUGAAUUUACUGUUUGUUUUGUUUGUUUGUUUGUUUUUACUUGUUUGUUAGUUUUGUUUCAUUUUAACACUGGAGGUAGUGCAUUGAAUUCUGAUAUGGGCUCUAUAGUAAUGUCUUGGGUUGUGACACUGGGGCAAAACAAGUGUCACAAAAAUACAGAAUUUAAAAGGUAGUGUGUUCAGUGCCACUGACUCUCUGCAGUUAUAUAUUCACCCUGGAAUGCUCAGUACAUAAAAGACAUGAGCAUAAAAAUGUCAGAAUCAGUUCCUUAAUCUUGAUGCAGUUUAAAUAUUACUUCUGGCUAAGUAUUACUUCUGAACCAAACAUAUGACUUGAGCUUACAGACAAGAGUUUGUUCCUGAGCUGAUUCAUGUCAGUUUUAUACUUGUAAACAUCUUUUGAUUUCAGUGGUGUUAAUUCAUAUUUUCAAUAUCUCAAUGAGAACAGAAAAUGCCUGUUUCAACACAGCCAGCAAACUCCCUUGGUACAUGAAGGAAAAUUGUUAAUGUCAAUAUCAGAGGCAAAAAAUGAAACCAGUCAGGAUACAGUAUGUGUCUUCACUGAAACUAAUACAGAAAUGAAAUACACAGCUCCUUGAGUGAGAUCACCUCCUCGAAAGAGUCAGUAUUGUCAGUACAUGAAGACAGUUAUUGCAUUGCUGUUUCCACUUAAUGCAGGGUGUAUGAGAUACACAUUGCAUCCAAGGGACAAGACACUGAACUAAUUUUACUAAGAUCACUUUAUGUUAAAUCAAAGAAAAAGGUGAAUUAGAAAAAGAAGAUGCAAAUGGUACAUUUACAAUAUUUUCUCUCGAAAAUUUACUGAGGUUAAGAGAAAGAAAAAAAUAAAAACUGGAAGGUUGAUGGAAGGUUAAAAUAUUCACAGAACAAACUUGAUUUAUUCAAGCUUUUUGAAGUCCCAAGAAACAUGUUUAAUGUUUCAGGCCGAAAGACCUGAAAAGAAACCUUAUUGUGGUGCACAGCAAAGUAAUGUGGAAAAAAAAUCUCCAUAUUUCUUCAGCCUCUAGCUUAGCUCUCACUGUGGGGAAUCUUGCUGUGAAGAGAUUAAUCACUACUGCUUAAUAGUAUCUCUGCUGGUUGCUCCAGGAUAGCAAGUAGCUACAUAAUGCAGUAAAUGCAUUCUUCUUUUAGUAUGGCACCUAGUGUACUGUUAAUGUGCCAAAGGGAUUUCAAACUUACCAUGGUGCAAAACUGACCAGCCAAUGCUGGAAACAUGUUGCUUGUCUCUCCAGGGGCCACAGAUUCUGGGAAAAAAAGAAAAAAAAAGAAAAAAGAAAAAAGAAAAAAAAAAAGUGAAAUUGUUGCCUCUCCCUAGUUUUGGUUUAUGGAGGAAAUGAACUGCUUCCUACAAAUCUAGUUAGCUGCCAGGCUACCCCCAGACUUAGGUCCCAAAGUUGUCCCUUUUUCUGAAGCCAGCCUUUAAACUGAGUCUUUAUUAGCGAUUUUGACUUCACAUCUUGAUCUCACUUUUUAUUUUCUGCCAUUUAUAGUACUUGAUUUCCUGAGAGGAAGACUGGACAUUUAAUUUAAUGUAAUAAUUACUGGUAAUUGGUUACAUGCCUCUCCCUGUCAGUUCUGCUUUGUUCCCCUUCUUACUAGCACCAAAAUGUCUCUAGUUCCUUUCUGUCCUUAUUGGGCUAAACUAUUUUCCCUCCUCUCCAUUUGCAAAUCUGCCUGUUUUGGCAUCAUUAUCUCUAGUGGUUCAAUGUACAAUGAAGAAAAAUCCAACAAAGAAGCCUUUAACAAGCUAGGUCUUGAUAUAUUUUUCAUAUCAUAAGAUACAAAACAAGGAAACUGGUUCAAGGAAGACUACUUGGCCACAGAGAAAAAAAGAAGGUUUUUAGGAUGGCAAAAUCAACCCUUUCCUGAGUUCUUUCUGUUAUUGCAUCAAGACUUCAACAGCUUUAUCUGAAUGCUCUUCAGAGACUGUGGUUCAAAGGUUUUGGCUUAAAAGUGUUUGGACUUUUUUCCUUUGGCAAGAAAAAUGGACAGGUUUAUUUAAAUUAAAUGCUUUUCAAAGAUACUUUCAUAGAAGCUUUCAUCUCUCUUUUUCUUUGUUUCCAAUUUUCCUGAAAAUAACUGCAGUGACACAAGUGCAAAGUCUUUUUGAUCAUUUCAGUAGCAGUGAUAAUGCAGCUUUGUGAACUGCAAGGCAUGUUGUCUGAAAAAGCUAUCUUCUACAAUGAGCAGCGGAGGAAAUGGAGCACAACAACUGGCAGUCUUCCCUCCAGAUCAGUCACCCAUUACAGAAAGUUCUCCAGCAGGUGAGUAGAGGAUUGAUAAACUGUUAUCUUUUGGGGACUUCCAACCAUGAAAAGAAUGGCUGUUGCAUAUGUAGGAGAGAUACUUGUAGUAAAACAGAUGUCUGAAUUCACAGUAAAUCUGAACCUGAGGAAAGGCCGCUGGGUUCUGAUUAACAGAAAAGAUGAACUACUAUUUCCAGUUCCUUUUUCAACAAAACAGCAUAGGAAGAGGCCAGAUGAACAUACAAUUAAACAACAGUACUUAACAAAGUUCCUGAUCUGAACCCCAGGGCAAAGCAGUAGCUGUGUGGUGAUGAUGGACUCUGGGACUUGCUGGAGUUGUAGCAUGCUAGUGUCAUUCUGGAGUUGUAGUCCUCUUGUGAAGACCAGAUGUGUGGAUCCUGAUGUCUCUUACACUUGAAUCAUCUGUAUGUGCACUAGCAAGUGGCACAGAAAAAACUUCUCCUGUUCAAUGGCUUAUUAUUUCAAGGUUUCUUGAUUUCCCUGCUCAGGACACAGUAACACUGUGCCAUCUGCAGUCCUCUGACAGUGUGCCAGUAACACUGCUGGCUGAAAUAAUUUCCAGCUUCACAUUAAAAGGGAAAUACAAAUCCCACUUAGGUACAUUCUAAUAUGCAGCAUUAGAAAUAUAACUAAACCAUAGAACUUAAAUCAUACUCCUGGAGUUGUUAUGCUGAACAUGCUGAACGUGCAGCUGCCGUGAUGAACUUAGAGCCUGUUUUACUAGUUGCCUCACAUAAUAUGCGCAGGAGUAUUCCUGUUUCAUGCCAUCCGUUUCUACUGGGUGCUUGGAGUGAAAUGCAUCUCACUUAAUGGACCCUGGGGACAUCCACAUCUGAAGCUCCCUACAGCCAACGGAGAAAAAUUCCAUUCACUGUAGGUGGGCUGAACCCUUAAUUGGCAUUUCUUACACCAUUUUGCCACUUAAAUUAGUUUUAGAGGAAUUGAAUACUGUCCAUUUAAUAUUCCUUUAUUUGCUGUUAUCUCAGUCCACAAGCAUCCACUUACCUUGAUACUUUACUAAACUAAAGCACCAAUGAGGGAGUUUUCGAUAAGUGAAGAGAGUGAAGGGAUAAGAAAUCAUUAUUUCGUUACCCCC